rnacentral:rRNA from 1 species
GACGAACGCUGGCGGCGUGCUUAACACAUGCAAGUCGAACGGAAAGGCCCUUCGGGGUACUCGAGUGGCGAACGGGUGAGUAACACGUGGGUGAUCUGCCCUGCACUUUGGGAUAAGCCUGGGAAACUGGGUCUAAUACCGAAUAUGAUCAUCAGCUUCAUGGUUGGUGGUGGAAAGCUUUUGCGGUGUGGGAUGGGCCCGCGGCCUAUCAGCUUGUUGGUGGGGUAAUGGCCUACCAAGGCGACGACGGGUAGCCGGCCUGAGAGGGUGACCGGCCAGACUGGGACUGAGAUACGGCCCAGACUCGUACGGGAGGCAGCAGUGGGGAAUAUUGCACAAUGGGCGCAAGCCUGAUGCAGCGACGCCGCGUGAGGGAUGACGGCCUUCGGGUUGUAAACCUCUUUCAGCACAGACGAAGCGUAAGUGACGGUAUGUGCAGAAGAAGGACCGGCCAACUACGUGCCAGCAGCCGCAGUAA